GCGCCUGUAGCUCAGUUGGAUAGAGCAUCUGCCUUCUAAGCAGGUUGUCGGGGGUUCGAGUCUCUCCAGGCGCACCA
rnacentral:tRNA from 8 species